AGAGUUUGAUCCUGGCUCAGGAUGAACGCUGGCGGCGUGCCUAACACAUGCAAGUCGAACGAAGCGCCUUUUAAGAUUCUUCGGAUGAUUGAUUGGUGACUGAGUGGCGGACGGGUGAGUAACGCGUGGGUAACCUGCCCUGUACAGGGGGAUAACAGUUGGAAACGGCUGCUAAUACCGCAUAAGCGCACGAGAGGACAUCCUCUUGUGUGAAAAACUCCGGUGGUACAGGAUGGGCCCGCGUCUGAUUAGCUGGUUGGCAGGGUAACGGCCUACCAAGGCGACGAUCAGUAGCCGGUCUGAGAGGAUGAACGGCCACAUUGGAACUGAGACACGGUCCAAACUCCUACGGGAGGCAGCAGUGGGGAAUAUUGCACAAUGGGGGAAACCCUGAUGCAGCAACGCCGCGUGAGUGAAGAAGUAUUUCGGUAUGUAAAGCUCUAUCAGCAGGGAAGAUAAUGACGGUACCUGACUAAGAAGCUCCGGCUAAAUACGUGCCAGCAGCCGCGGUAAUACGUAUGGAGCAAGCGUUAUCCGGAUUUACUGGGUGUAAAGGGUGCGUAGGUGGCAGUGCAAGUCAGAUGUGAAAGGCCGGGGCUCAACCCCGGAGCUGCAUUUGAAACUGCAUAGCUAGAGUACAGGAGAGGCAGGCGGAAUUCCUAGUGUAGCGGUGAAAUGCGUAGAUAUUAGGAGGAACACCAGUGGCGAAGGCGGCCUGCUGGACUGUUACUGACACUGAGGCACGAAAGCGUGGGGAGCAAACAGGAUUAGAUACCCUGGUAGUCCACGCCGUAAACGAUGAAU
rnacentral:rRNA from 1 species